CGUCGUCAGAUUUUGCCCACGAUUUUUGGCCAAUCGACCGGUCCUUUUGUUCUAAUUUGGCCAUAGGGGUAUUUAAAAUUGAAUUACGAGCAAAUGAAAAUUUUUUUACCUUUUUUGGCAGUUGAAAAAGACUUCGGUGCAGCAGUGGGCGGCGGCAGUUAGAUCUUUUUCUCCAGCGAGGGUAUCUGGCAGAUAGGGUUAAGGUUUGGUGUCAAUAUCCAUCCGUAUCUAAUCUGAGUCAUCCAUUGCAUUUGAUCUGGACUGUCUGAUCGUGAUUAAAUAGAGAGUGAAUUUAAAUCGUUCAUCGUGAUCUAAUUUGGACUGUCUGAUCGCGUUUAAAUAUGGCCGUCCGAUUGCUUUGGGAAGGGAAUACAUACAGGUCGUCCGUGCGUGCGGGAACUGAUAUGGGUCAUUCGACCAGGGGCACGUAAAUCGCCCACAUGGCCUCCUGCGUGGCACUACGUCAACGUCUAGUGCCACGCGGCGCAUCCUGCUUCGUCAGGAUUGCUGACCAAGCAUCCUAUGUGGCAAAACUUUUCUAAACUGUAUUUUAACCUAUAGUUUCUGAUUUUUUUCCAAAAAUAAUCCAAAACCCAAAU
rnacentral:lncRNA from 1 species